GAUGAACGCUGGCGGCGUGCCUAAUACAUGCAAGUCGAGCGAACAGACGAGGAGCUUGCUCCUCUGACGUUAGCGGCGGACGGGUGAGUAACACGUGGAUAACCUACCUAUAAGACUGGGAUAACUUCGGGAAACCGGAGCUAAUACCGGAUAAUAUAUUGAACCGCAUGGUUCAAUAGUGAAAGACGGUUUUGCUGUCACUUAUAGAUGGAUCCGCGCCGCAUUAGCUAGUUGGUAAGGUAACGGCUUACCAAGGCAACGAUGCGUAGCCGACCUGAGAGGGUGAUCGGCCACACUGGAACUGAGACACGGUCCAGACUCCUACGGGAGGCAGCAGUAGGGAAUCUUCCGCAAUGGGCGAAAGCCUGACGGAGCAACGCCGCGUGAGUUAUGAAGGUCUUCGGAUCGUAAAACUCUGUUAUUAGUGAAGAACAAAUGUGUAAGUAACUAUGCACGUCUUGACGGUACCUAAUCAGAAAGCCACGGCUAACUACGUG
rnacentral:rRNA from 1 species